AACCUGCGGAAGGAUCAUUGUCGAGACCUCGAGAAACAACAAAUCGACGGAAAUUUAUCAACCAAAUUCGCCGCUUUGACCUGGUGGACGAUGGUCGGGUGUGAAUAUCUCGCUCUCUUCCUAGCUCCCCCUUGUCAUGCGGAUAUCGUCAUGCCGUUCUCCCAUCAAGGGACGACGGCAGACGAUUCGAUAAACAUGGCACGAUACGUGUCAAGGAUCUUUAUUGCUCUUGUAGCACUAGGCAAUGGCUUAUUUGAUAGCUUCUGCUUUGCUACAAGAGCUAUUGAAAAGUCAUAUUUACGAUGACUCUCGGCAACGGAUAUCUAGGCUCUCGCAUCGAUGAAGAACGUAGCGAAAUGCGAUACUUGGUGUGAAUUGCAGAAUCCCGUGAACCAUCGAGUUUUUGAACGCAAGUUGCGCCCGAGGCCUUUAGGUCGAGGGCACGCCUGCCUGGGCGUCAUGCCUCGUGUCACUCCGUACAUCUCGUGUCUCCGGCAUCGAGAUAGACGGAAGUGGAGAUUGGUUUACCAUGUCUUUUAAUGGUGUGGUGGGCUAAAGAAUUGAUGUCAACGUUGUUUACGGACACGACUAGUGGUGGAUGGACAAAUAUAUUGGCCGAGACCGAUGUCGUUCCUCCUUUCUUUGGCAUCUAACGCGAACACAACCCUUACGGGGGGGAUCGUCCUCUCUCGCGUUGCGACCCCAGGUCAGGCGGGACUACCCGCUGAGUUUAAGCAUAUCAAUAAGCGG
rnacentral:rRNA from 1 species